UACGGAGGAUGCAAGCGUUAUCCGGAAUCACUGGGCGUAAAGCGUCUGUAGGUGGCUUAGGAAGUCUGCUGUUAAAUAUUAGGGCUUAACCCUAAACCAGCAGUGGAAACUCCUAGGCUAGAGUAUGGUAAGGGUAGAGGGAAUUCCCAGUGUAGCGGUGAAAUGCGUAGAUAUUGGGAAGAACACCAGAGGCGAAAGCGCUCUGCUAGGCCAUUACUGACACUCAGAGACGAAAGCUAGGGGAGCAAAUGGG
rnacentral:rRNA from 1 species